GACGAACGCUGGCGGCGUGCUUAACACAUGCAAGUCGAACGGAAAGGCCCUGCUUUUGUGGGGUGCUCGAGUGGCGAACGGGUGAGUAACACGUGAGUAACCUGCCCUUGACUUUGGGAUAACUUCAGGAAACUGGGGCUAAUACCGGAUAGGAGCUCCUGCUGCAUGGUGGGGGUUGGAAAGUUUCGGCGGUUGGGGAUGGACGCGCGGCUUAUCAGCUUGUUGGUGGGGCAGUGGCUUACCAAGGCUGUGACGGGUAGCCGGCCUGAGAGGGUGAACGGCCACAUUGGGACUGAGAUACGGCCCAGACUCCUACGGGAGGCAGCAGUGGGGAAUAUUGCACAAUGGGCGGAAGCCUGAUGCAGCAACGCCGCGUGGGGGAUGACGGCCUUCGGGUUGUAAACCGCUUUCGCCUGUGACGAAGGGUGAGUGACGGUAAUGGGUAAAGAAGCACCGGCUAACUACGUG
rnacentral:rRNA from 1 species